UUUGCUUAAUUGCAAGUUUGCCACUCACCUAAGAAAAGUGUUAUAAAAGCAACUUUAUAGCUAUUUUUCUCAUUAGGGUUUUUCUUGUAGAAAAGAGGUGAAACCUAUUCUCUCUUUUUAAACAAGGAGGCCGGCCACUUAGAGAAGAUUAAUCUAGCAAUCUUUUCUUCUCUAAGUUAUCCAUUUCAUCUUCACACCUCACCCUUGGUGUGGAGACUUAGAGACACCAAACCUUUGGUGUUUUGGAGAUCCUUUCCUCACAUCUUCAAGGACCAAAGGAGCACAAAAGGAGAAGGAAAUCACAAGCAAGAUCCAAGGAGCUUGGAGGUGACUUGAAGGCCCUCAACUUGGGUGAAUCCCUUGUGUAAACAAGGAUGAGCUUCAAGGGUAAAUAAUCUUUAAAUUCUUCAUUCUCUUUAAUGUUGUUAAAGAGUCUUUUGGUUCACCAUUCACUAGGCUUUG
rnacentral:lncRNA from 1 species